CGGGUGAGUAACACGUGGAUAACCUACCUAUAAGACUGGGAUAACUUCGGGAAACCGAGCUAAUACCGGAUAAUAUAUUGAACCGCAUGGUUCAAUAGUGAAAGACGGUUUUGCUGUCACUUAUAGAUGGAUCCGCGCCGCAUUAGCUAGUUGGUAAGGUAACGGCUUACCAAGGCAACGAUGCAUAGCCGACCUGAGAGGGUGAUCGGCCACACUGGAACUGAGACACGGUCCAGACUCCUACGGGAGGCAGCAGCA
rnacentral:rRNA from 1 species